rnacentral:misc_RNA from 1 species
GAUGAAGAACGUAGCGAAAUGCGAUACUUGGUGUGAAUUGCAGAAUCCCGUGAACCAUCGAGUCUUUGAACGCAAGUUGCGCCUCAAGCCAUUAGGUUGAGGGCACGUCUGCCUGGGCGUCACAUAUCGUUGCCUGAUGCCAGUUUCCUCGUGAUGGGUGACUGUGCAGGGCGAAUGAUGGCUUCCCGUGAGCAUUGUUGCCUCAUGGUUGGUUGAAAAUUGAGUCCUUGGUAGGGAGCGCCGUGAUAGAUGGUGGUUGAGUGACGAACGAGACCCAAUCAUGUGAGACCCCUACCGAAUUUGGCCUUCAUGACCCACAUGCGUCUUUGAAACGGUAAUAACGAGACCUCAGGUCAGGCGGGGCUACCCGCUGAGUUUAAGCAUAUCAAUAAGCGGAGGA